rnacentral:rRNA from 1 species
AGAGUUUGAUCAUGGCUCAGGACGAACGCUGGCGGCGUGCUUAACACAUGCAAGUCGAACGGAAAGUGCCCUUUCGGGGGUGACUCGAGUGGCGAACGGGUGAGUAACACGUGGGUGAUCUGCCCUGCACUUUGGGAUAAGCCUGGGAAACUGGGUCUAAUACCGAAUACACCCUGCUGGUCGCAUGGCCUGGUGGGGGAAAGCUUUUGCGGUGUGGGAUGGGCCCGCGGCCUAUCAGCUUGUUGGUGGGGUGAUGGCCUACCAAGGCGACGACGGGUAGCCGGCCUGAGAGGGUGUCCGGCCACACUGGGACUGAGAUACGGCCCAGACUCCUACGGGAGGCAGCAGUGGGGAAUAUUGCACAAUGGGCGCAAGCCUGAUGCAGCGACGCCGCGUGAGGGAUGACGGCCUUCGGGUUGUAAACCUCUUUCACCUCCGACGAAGCGUAAGUGACGGUAGGAGGAGAAGAAGCACCGGCCAACUACGUGCCAGCAGCCGCGGUAAUACGUAGGGUGCGAGCGUUGUCCGGAAUUACUGGGCGUAAAGAGCUCGUAGGUGGUUUGUCGCGUUGUUCGUGAAAACUCACAGCUUAACUGUGGGCGUGCGGGCGAUACGGGCAGACUGGAGUACUGCAGGGGAGACUGGAAUUCCUGGUGUAGCGGUGGAAUGCGCAGAUAUCAGGAGGAACACCGGUGGCGAAGGCGGGUCUCUGGGCAGUAACUGACGCUGAGGAGCGAAAGCGUGGGGAGCGAACAGGAUUAGAUACCCUAGUAGUCC